rnacentral:rRNA from 1 species
GAUGAACGCUGGCGGCGUGCCUAACACAUGCAAGUCGAGCGAACCCUUCGGGGUGAGCGGCGGACGGGUGAGUAACGCGUGGGUAACCUGCCCUGUACACACGGAUAACAUACCGAAAGGUAUGCUAAUACGGGAUAAAGUAUGAGAGUCGCAUGGCUUUUGUAUCAAAGCUCCGGCGGUACAGGAUGGACCCGCGUCUGAUUAGCUAGUUGGUGAGGUAACGGCUCACCAAGGCCACGAUGCAUAGCCGACCUGAGAGGGUGAUCGGCCACACUGGGACUGAGACACGGCCCAG